rnacentral:lncRNA from 1 species
GAAGAGUCAUGGCAUGGCAUUUUCGUGCACUUGCGCUUGAUUUCAAGUUGAUUGUGAUGUACUAAGAGAAAGUACUUGGAAUUCUGCCUACGCACGGUUUGAUAAAUCCGGAUUUUUUUGUGCGUACGGCAUUUUUUAAGUCUGAGCGUACGGAACAUUUUAGUAGGAAGUCCACGCAAGUCUUUGUACAUGAGACGUAAAAUGAUUAAAACAGGAUCUGAUCAGUUUAUUUAAUCAAACUUCCUUUUUAUUAUUUGUCUCUUUUUUUGUUUCUGUCUCAUCAUCCUUCUUAACCACUUCUCUUUUUGUCUUUAACCCACCAGGAAGUUCCAACACAAAUGAUGAGAUUAUAUACUCAGAAGUCCGAAUUGUACAAUCAGACAAGACAGUUGUCGUGACAACCCCUAAUGCAGCUGAUCCCAGUCAUCCCAACCGGCCUGGAUCACAUGACCCUGCUGACUCCUCACCUGAGGCAGUGACCCCUGCCUUGGCUAAACAGAGACUGCUGCUGUGUUGUCUGUGUGCCGUCUUGUUUGCUGCAGGCCUCAUCGUUACAGUUCUCUGUGAGUCUUAUACAACUCAUAUACAAUAUACAUAUAUAUAAGUGGUUUGCAAAAGUAUUCAUGAACUUUUUCACAUUUUGUCACCUUACAACCACAAACUAUGAAUUCUAUUGAGAUUUUAAGUGAUAGACCAACACGAAAUAUCACAUAAAUGUGAAGUGAAAUUAAAA